UUAGCUGUAGUUUUAACAGUUGUCUGAAAUAGUCUAAUAAGACAGAUUAUCUUCUUUCUUACUACAUAUCUACUUAAGUGAAAAUUUGGAUGCCUAUCAAUCAUAUAAUAUUAAAGUAGGGGCAGGGGAAUUAAUAAUAAGCAAUUAAUCACUUAUUAUUAGGUUGGUUGAUGCACACCUACAGCAAUUUAUUAUGUUUCCAGCUUCUACACUGCCUAUGGGUUCCCAGGGAUUGUUGGUUGCAUUGACUGCACCCAUAUUUCCAUAGUUCCUCCUCAAAGACCAUUUGAGGAGAGGAGCUAUGUAAAUAGGAAGCAUUACCACUCCAUCAAUGCGCAAUUGAUAUGUGAUUCAAACUUAAAAAUAUUAAAUGUAAAUGCUCUGUUCCCUGGAAGCACACACGAUUCAUAUAUCUGGAAUAGCUCCAACGUCCUUCCUGUGAUGGAACAAUUAUACACAAGUGGCCAUCAAAGUUAUCACCUUAUAGG